GGACCAAUUUGUUGGUCGUGCCUCGGUACGUACUGGUAUUAUUGGUUUCUCCCUUCUGAAGAACCAUGAUGCCAUUAAUUUGGUGUCGUGGGAAUCAGGACUGUUACUUUGAAAAAAUUAGGAGUGUUUAAAGCAGGCAUACGCUUGAAUACAUUAGCAUGGAAUAAUGAAAUAGGACGUUUGAUUCUAUUUUGUUGGUUUCUAGGAUCGACGUAAUGAUUA
rnacentral:rRNA from 1 species